rnacentral:lncRNA from 1 species
ACUGUAUCAUCGGAUUCGCCGUCAUUGUCGCUAUCGUCGAGCUCGUGGUAGCCGAGAAGCCGCGGGAGGAAGCAUCUGCUUAUUUCCAUUGAGAAUCUUCUAGGUCGUUGCUGAGAUAUAAGAUCGAUCGCCGAUUCGCCGAUCUAUUUGAUAACGGUCAUGAAUUCAUCAUUUGAUAUAACCCGUGAUAUUUGUUAUUUUAUAUGUAUUUUUUAUGAGUAAAUUAUAAAAUUACCCCUAAUUUUUUUCUAAUAAUAUAAAAGUACAUACAUAUAUGCUGUCUUUGCCCAAAGCCCUCUCCCCCAAGACGCUACUCGAAAUGAGAUUUCCCCUUCCACUCGUCAUCUUCUCAAUUCUCCUUAUCUUCUUCCCCCUUGACUCUUUUUCCCGUCGCACGCCCUUUUUUGAGAUCUUGAUCAGAUCCCUCCCCAUAUCCGACGGCGGCGAGGAUAUCGGCGGUGAGGAUGUCGGCAGUAGCAGUACCGAUGCCUACUGCAACAGCUGGAUGUAUUCAGUUGAGACCAACAAUAUCGGCACUUGGGCCACCAUUCCGAUCAUCUGUCAAUCAUUUGUGGAGGAUUAUAUGAACGGUCCUCGGUAUCUCUCUGAUUCUAAGGUCGUUGCGUCUUACUCCCUCGCUUUCGCCAAGGACGUGUUCAUCGGAGGCGGGAAAGAUGCUUGGAUCUUCGAUGCUGAUGAGACUUUAAUAUCCAAUCUGCAGUAUUACGCCGAGAAUGGAUACGGGUAAGUUAGAUCGGUUGAUGUUUUUUUACGGAUUUGGACAGUCAGUUUUCACAUUCAAAGAUUCGCUGUAGAUCGGAGAUUUUCAACGAAACAAAGUGGAACGAGUGGGUGGUGUUGUCGGCGGCGACGGCUCUUCCGGCGAGUUUAGAAUUGUACAACGACCUGAAAAGUUUGGGGUUUAAGAUAAUGAUACUGACUGGGAGAGGAGAAGGGCAGAGGGAGUUGACACAGAAGAAUCUCAAUAACGCAGGAUACAGUGGCUGGGAAAAGCUCAUCUUGAGGUAUCAAUUUAUCAUGCAUCAUCUCUUCCAUUUUCUCUUGAUUAAUGUCAUGGCCCGAUGACCGAUUUGUUUAUUUCCGGCAGGGGCGAAGGAGACGGUGGCAAAACCGCCGUGAUGUACAAAUCGGAGAAACGAGCAAUGCUGGAAUCGGAAGGAUACACGAUUCAUGGAAGCUCUGGAGAUCAGUGGAGUGAUUUGUCUGGUUCACCCACUGCUAAACGUUCUUUUAAGCUUCCCAAUCCAAUGUACUACAUUGCUUGAUUGGAAUAAUUGCGUGAUAUUACCGAUGAUUUCUAUGAAUAAUUUUUUUAUAUGAUUCUGGACUUAUAUAAAAAAUACCCAAAUUUUAAUAAAAUAAUAGUUUAUCCACUACAGUUGGAAUUGCCAUAAGAUGAUAAGAUGUCCAAUGUGUGUCAUUUUCAAUAUGUUGGAAUUAUAUGUAUUAUUUUGAUCUUAUAUUCUCUAACGUCACAGUCUGGUCAAUUUUGACGGCAGAACGGUUAUUUCACAUUAAUCGCGAGGUCAAUUUUGGGAAAAAAAAUCAAGGCUAUUAUUAAUCCAAUUAUUGUCCAAUAACCACGGACGCGGGGACGCUACAUAAGUGGUUAUAAACACCAUCAAUCAUAAGCUGUCUUUGCCAGUGAUCAUUGAUAACACGUUGUUCGAAAUGGGAUUUCUUUAUCCACUCGUCAUCCUCUCAAUCCUCCUCAUCUUCUUCCCCUUUGAUUCUUCUUCCCGUCGCACGCUCUUCUUCCACGGAGGCAGCACCACCACCACCACCACCACCAGCACCGAUGCCUACUGCAACAGCUGGAUGUAUUCAGUUGAGACCAACAAUAUCGGCGAUUGGCCCACCAUUCCGAUCAUCUGUCAAUCAUUUGUGGCGGGUUACAUGAACGGUACUCGGUAUCUCUCUGAUUCCAAGGUCGUAGCGUCUUACUCCC